UUUGUGAGGUCAGCUCUGACAGUGUCCCUUUGUGCCUGGGUUCCUGACCUUGAUCAACUUCUCUGCUGGUUAACGGCAGAGCACUUGCUGCACAAUGAGCACACAUUUCAGUGAGCUGGAAAAAUAAGGGAAGCAAGCUUCCAGGCCCUUUAUCUCUGGAGAUUACUCAAGUAACAAACCCUUGGAGGAGGCAAGUCAGGGCAGAGCCUCAGUGGGUGUUAUAGCUCAAGGAGACCAUCAGCGCGUCCCUGUCCCUGACCGGGCAGGGCAGAGGAGAAGACUGCGGCCAAGGAUGUGGCUUCUUAAGGUCGUUGUCUGGGCAGGGGCUCAGCUGAGCCCAGGACUCCCAUGAUUGAAGAAGCUUCUGGAAGACAGAUUCUGCCCCUAUUGUAUAUGAUUUUGAUAGUAUCUCGCUUGGUGACAUUUGUUAAAAGGUAGAGCUGAUCCUGUUUUACAAAUGAAAGCGGUGAGCAACAGUCAACAGCUCCUUGUAACUGCAAAAUUAAGAGGCACUUGAUGGGAUGAGCACGGGGUGAUAUGCUAUAUGUUGGCAAAUUGAACUCCAAUAAAAAAAAAAAAAAGAGGCUAACUGACACUUCAACACUGCCUAAGGAACUCGUUCAUGGAAACAGUUGAAGAACUGAAGUCAUCUGGUUAAUUAAACACACACAUGUUCAUGAAGAUACCACUUAGGCUUUUCAGAAGGCACAUACCUCGCUGUUGGCGCUUUCCACAAAUGAGCCCCCAAACAUGGCAGCCAUCCACCUGCAGCUACAGAUCAGCAACGGUUUGUGGGCGCUGAUGGCUCCAUCAUCCAACCUAAAUGUCACAUCUGCCCAAGGAUUGAGGAAACAGAACCGUGAGCCAGCUCCGCUGAGUCUGCCUUGUUCAUCAACCUACAUCUCCUGCUCCUCUCUUCCGUAUCUUUCCUUCGUGAUUUUGUAUCAACCUCCACCUCUGGAACUGCCAAUUCCUUCUAUGCCAUCCAAGGAUCAAGGGGUAAACAUUUAAAAUUGCACCUAAGAUCCCAGCACAAAUUCUCUGAACCAUACAGUAACACAAAGGAAAGGAAUAUUUUUCUUUCUCCAUACUCUGAAAAAUUUCAAACACAAUAAAAACAGUGGAAGAAAUAGUACAUUGUUAA